rnacentral:misc_RNA from 1 species
AAGAGUUAGGGUCUUCUAGGCCCGACCUCCCAACCCUUUGUUUACUUAACCAUCGUUGCUUCGGCGAGCCCGUCUUUACUGACCGCCGGGAGACUCUAAACCGUCUUCUGGUCCGCGCUCGUCGGUGGCCAACACUUUAAAUUCUUUAACUAAACGUGUCUAUAUCUGAGUACUAUAUUUUAAUAAAAACA